rnacentral:lncRNA from 10 species
CCUGGGCACCUGGUGGGAUUGCAUUCACAGUUCCUCAAAGUGACCAAGUGAUUUGCAUUGAGCAUUGAAAGAUAUCCCCCUGGGGCACCGGCCUAGAACAGAGCAACAAAUAUUUACUAAUUCCAUUAACAGAAGAGAGUUGGAAUUUUUUUUUCCCAAGCGAAUAUCCGAGGCCCCAAGUUCAUGGUGAGCCCUCUCCCCCGCAUGGCCCCCUCUCCCCCCACCUCCUCCCUACACGCCCAGGACUUAUAUAUAGUUCACUCAGUGCCAUUUCCCCAAUUUUUUUCUGAAGUUCAAGACAAGUUGAAGGGUCAAAAAGGCAAAGGGUGUUUUAGAAGUUUAGCAGACAGCUUUUGGUACAAGGAAAAGAGAGGGAGAGCUGGAGAGAGGGAAACAGGGUGAAGAGGCAGGAAUCUGGCUCGCAUUAAGCUGGGAGGUUCCAACCAUUGAUUCGCUCUGGAAUUAUGGCUUAAAAAAAUUGCAAGACAUGGUUUAUUCAUGAGGGUUCUUUUUUUUUCUUAAGUAGCCACCCAAAGUUACACUUUGGUUCACCAAGACGAAGACUCAUCCUUCCUCUCUCUAUGGAUCUUUCAGAUGAAGAAAUUAAGGCUCAGGAGGGAGGAAAAAAAUAAAAGAAAGAAUUGUCCAAGGUCACCAAGGCAUCUGGACUCCCAUAUGUUGAGCUACUUCUGCUUGUGGGGCAGCUGCAAUACAUGAAUUCUUCACUACCAACUUAAUAUAAGCUAAGGAAUGCAAAAGAUUGCCAGCAAAUGACCAGAAGCUAGAGGGGAGGCAUGGAACAGAUCUUCUCUCACAGCCUCAGAAGGAACUAGCCCUACUGACAGCUCGAUCUCAGACUUCUAGACUCCAGACUGAGGACUCAUUCUUGGAGCCCAGUCUCCAUACUGUGAGGAAGCCCAAAAGGCACACACUAACAGAACACGUGGAAAAGCUUCAGCCUCGUGUAGAUGUUCUGGUCAACAUCCCAGUUGAUGUCACAGCCAACAGCCUGCAUCAAGUGCCUGACACGUGAGUGAUGACACCUCCAGAUGAUUCCAGCCCCUAGCCAUUGGAUCACCCCCAGCUGUCAAAUCUUCCAGCUGAGGCCCCAGACAUUGUGGGGCAGAGACAAGCUGUUCCCAUUGUGCCCCAUCCAAAUUCCUGACCCACAGAAUGAAUGAGCA